GAUCAGGGUUCCUCUGCCCCACUCUCCCACUGUAACAUUUCUGCCUUGCACAGGGCCCAAGGUGAGGGAACUGCUGACCAUGGACAAAACCCACUGAAACCGCAAUGGUUCCCAGAGGGACACAGAAGAACACAGAGAAAAUUCAAGCGGUAGAAGAAAGCAGAAAGGGGGAUGAUGGUGGCCUUGCUAGAAGAAGGCAGGACCAGGACCCCUGGCCGCAGGACUCAGUGUCAGCAUCGUCAUGGCGAGCCCAACCCCCCAAGCCUGAUUUCCUGAGAUUCAGGUGUCUGAAAGAUAAACUUCUCUUCCAUGAAGACCACUGAAGUGGGAAACUCUGUUGACUGUAGCAACAGAAUCACCUACCGAAACCUUGUAGCAUUCAGACCGUGAAACAGCGGAUUCAUGGUUUGCUGGGCAUAUUAACAGAAUGAAAGGAUGUUAUCUAGAAUUCUGUUUGGUUCCAAGUAAUAGAAAACCUGCUGCCAGCAGCUUUAAAGUCUAGAUGCUUAUUUCCCUCCAUAUAUAUCCUAAAGCUAAAAAUUAGUUUUAUAUCCAAAUUUUCCGUCAUUUCUAAUGAAAAGUCUCUCAACAUAGUAUGAUGUAUUUUUAUCUGUAGCACGGAAAUGAAAUGAAAGCUGCACAUUUGGGAAGCAAAUGUUUCCACUCUCAAUAUAUUAGGAACCUAUUUUCUUUGUUUGUGAUACUAAGGCUCGAACCCAGGAUUCUUGACUAAACUAGAUCCUCAGCCCAGUUUUCUUUUUGUUGAAUUUUGACCCAGGGUCUCACUAAGUCACUGAGUAGCAUGGACUGAAUUUUCAGUCCUCCUGCC